rnacentral:lncRNA from 1 species
UGGAACCUCGAAACUUCCCUACCUCCUUUCAUCGCCUGAUCUAUUCCUCACCUUUUUUCAAAGCUCCUGGUUCUUCUAUCGCAGAAAUUCCUCUUGUCGCUAGACAUUUGCUCACACUGGUCCUUCUUCUUCAAUUAAUCCCUGUUUCCCAUUCCCCUCUCCCCUUCACCGUCCCCCCACUCCCUUUAUUUCUUUUUUUCUGGGGUUCCCGUCGUGGUGCAGUGGGAACGAGUCCCACUGGGAACCAUGAGGAUGUGGGUUUCAUCCCUGACUCGCUCAGUGGGCUAAGGAUUUGGCGUUCCCGUGAAAUGUGGUGUAGGCUACAGAUGCGGCUCAGAUGCUGUGUUGCUGUGGUUGUGAGGUCGGCCAGCAGCUGUAGCUCCGAUUUGACCCCUAGCCUGGGAACCUCCAUAUGCCACAAGUGCGGCCCUAAAAAAGCCAAAAAAAAAAAAAAAAAAAUUUCUUUUUACCAUGAAACCUUUGUUGACUCUCCUCCAUUUUUUGCCCUUGUCCUUCUUACGAUCUCUCAGUUGCCCCCUCUUCCUAUCUUAUCACACAUGUUCACAGCCUCAAAAGACUUCCUUUUUUCUACCAUCUGACCCAGUGUUGGGUCCUCAUUAUCUCAUUCAGAGCCUGAGACUUAGCCUCAAGGUGUGACUUUCUACUGCAUUUCUCCCUAUCCAGAAUUUUGGAUGCUUUUCAUAAAGUGAAGGAGAAAAUCAUAUCACCCUGCUCAAAAAUUAUCACUAAAGUUUUAAUUAGUACUUAAUUAAUUCUUACUUACUUAAGCCUACCGUUACAGACUUUCCAAACAAGAUUCCAGUCUCCUGUCCAACUCUUCUGACUGCUCCUCCCCUGUGAGUGUCCUAUGAGGGCACCAAAUCAAACCAUUGGCUGCUUCCACUCUUUUCCUUCUCAGGUUCCCUGUGUAUUUCAUUCCCAUUUUCUGGCUUUCCUCCUUCCCCUCUCCAACCAAUUUUUUCAGCCAUCUUUUUCUUUUUUUUUUUUUAGGGCUACAACCAGGGCAUAUGGAGGUUCCCAAGCUAGGGGUCGGAGCUGUAGUCACCAGCCUACACCACAGCCAUAGCAUCUCGGGAUCUGAGCUGCAUCUGCUACCUACACCACAGCUCAUGGCAACACCAGAUCCCUAACCCACUGAGCGAAGCCACGUAUUGAACCUGCAUCCUCAUAGAUGCUAGUCAGAUUCGGUUCCACUGAGCCACGAUGAGAACUUCUCAGCUAACUUUUAGGGUGCUCCUUCUUCCGUUCUGCCAUGAUCUGCUUUUCGGCAUUUUUGUUUUUGUUUACAUCACACGUUCAGUCUCACAUACACAAGGAAAUAGAAUAGAGCUUUAUCUAACACUACUCUUAAGCACGGUGAUUAAGAGAAUUGGUCAAGGAGCCAAACUGCUUGUGUUUUAACAGUUCUCUCUCUAUUUCCCUGUGGCCUCAGAGAUGCUGUGUAACCUCUCCUUGCCUUAGCGUUCUUAUCUCUAAGAAGGAAGAAAUUUGUGCCUACCUUACAGGGUUAUUGGCCAGAUUGAGUGAAUGAAUCCAUGUCAAACACAAAGACAGUAUCUGGCACAUAGUAGGUUCUUCAUAAAUAUUGUUAUUGUUAUAGAUUGUCUAAGUGAGAAACACUUUAUUGUAAUGGAGUGUUUUUUUCACAAGUCAUCAAAU